AAUCACAUUGGAAGAAGGUAGAGAGUAAUCACAAUUAUUAUAAUUCAUAACAUAAGACUGUUUACUAUUAAGGAGAUCGUUAUUUUCAUUCUGAACAACCCAUGUUUUUGAUAUUAUGAAGUAUCUGUAAAUGAUAUUUAAUGCCAUUUGUUAACUGACAAGAAAAUUGGUGUGCGUUUAUUAUAGGUUAUAGAGUUGUACUAUGUGAUUCAUCGAACAGUGUGAAAUAACCUAUGAAUUUAACAUCUGACCACGUAUUUGACGACACAACAAUUGAUCAACUGUCGCAUACGAUUUUUAACUAAUUCUUAGAUAUAACAUUAUCAAUUCAAGAUGAAGAAGAAGGUUCUGUUGAUGGGUAAGAGCGGUUCAGGAAAGACUAGUAUGCGCAGCAUAAUUUUUGCCAAUUAUAUUGCUCGUGAUACACGUCGUUUGGGAGCAACAAUUGAUGUAGAACAUAGUCAUGUUCGAUUCCUUGGUAAUUUGGUGUUAAAUCUUUGGGAUUGCGGUGGUCAAGAAGCAUUCAUGGAAAAUUAUUUUGCAUCGCAACGUGACAAUAUAUUUAGGAACGUAGAGGUUUUGAUCUAUGUUUUCGACGUAGAAUCCAGAGAAUUAGAUAAAGACAUGCAUUAUUAUCAAAGUUGCUUAGAAGCAAUAUUACAAAAUAGUCCAGAAGCAAAGAUAUUCUGUUUAGUACAUAAGAUGGAUUUAGUACAAGAGGAUCAGCGAGAUUUGAUAUUUAGAGAAAGAGAAGAAGAUCUGAAAAGACUUAGUUUGCCACUCGAAUGUACUUGUUUUAGAACUAGCAUAUGGGAUGAAACAUUAUAUAGGGCAUGGUCUUCGAUCGUAUAUAUGUUGAUUCCAAAUGUGAAAGAGCUUGAACAGAGUUUGAAACAAUUUACAAAUAUUAUUGAUGCUGAUGAAGUACUCUUAUUUGAAAGGGCAACAUUUUUAGUAAUUAGUUAUUGUCAAAGGCAACAUCAUAGAGAUAUACAUCGAUUUGAAAAAGUUUCUAAUAUAAUAAAACAGUUCAAACUUAGUUGCAGCAAACUAGCGGCACAAUUUCAAAGUAUGGAAGUUAGAAAUACAAAUUUUGCAGCUUUUAUUGAUGUGUUUACAUCAAAUACAUAUGUAAUGGUUAUUAUGUCGGAUCCUGCUAUCCCAUCAGCAGCAACAUUAAUCAAUAUUCGUAAUGCACGAAAACAUUUUGAGAAAUUAGAGCGUGCUAGUCAGAGCUCGGCAUUAAGUAGAUAGAAAUCAGCUCGACCCAGGCGCGUUGUCACCCGGGUCCAGGCUGUUAAUCGCUAUUGAAUCUAAGAGUCACUUUAAAAGAGAAUCAUCACAAUGAAGCUGUAUUUAUGAAGAAGUAAUAAAAGGAACAUGGAAUAAUAAAAGCUUAUGCUUUCACGUGUAUCACUAGACUGUAUUUUUUAAUUAUGCGAAUAAAUAAAGUCAUCGAA